rnacentral:rRNA from 1 species
AAUCCAUAGGUUAAUGAGGCGAACCGGGGGAACUGAAACAUCUAAGUACCCCGAGGAAAAGAAAUCAACCGAGAUUCCCCCAGUAGCGGCGAGCGAACGGGGAGGAGCCCAGAGCCUGAAUCAGCAUGUGUGUUAGUGGAAGCGUCUGGAAAGGCGCGCGAUACAGGGUGACAGCCCCGUACACAAAAGCGCAUGUGCUGUGAGCUCGAUGAGUAGGGCGGGACACGUGGUAUCCUGUCUGAAUAUGGGGGGACCAUCCUCCAAGGCUAAAUACUCCUGACUGACCGAUAGUGAACCAGUACCGUGAGGGAAAGGCGAAAAGAACCCCGGCGAGGGGAGUGAAAAAGAACCUGAAACCGUGUACGUACAAGCAGUGGGAGCACCCUUUGGGUGUGACUGCGUACCUUUUGUAUAAUGGGUCAGCGACUUAUAUUCUGUAGCAAGGUUAACCGAAUAGGGGAGCCGGAGGGAAACCGAGUCUUAACCGGGCGUUAAGUUGCAGGGUAUAGACCCGAAACCCGGUGAUCUAGCCAUGGGCAGGUUGAAGGUUGGGUAACACUAACUGGAGGACCGAACCGACUAAUGUUGAAAAAUUAGCGGAUGACCUGUGGCUGGGGGUGAAAGGCCAAUCAAACCGGGAGAUAGCUGGUUCUCCCCGAAAGCUAUUUAGGUAGCGCCUCGUGAAUUCAUCUCCGGGGGUAGAGCACUGU